UACGGAGGAUCCAAGCGUUAUCCGGAAUCAUUGGGUUUAAAGGGUCCGUAGGCGGCCUUAUAAGUCAGUGGUGAAAUCUUCUAGCUCAACUAGAAAAUGGCCAUUGAUACUGUAGGGCUUGAAUUAUUGUGAAGUAACUAGAAUAUGUAGUGUAGCGGUGAAAUGCUUAGAUAUUACAUGGAAUACCAAUUGCGAAGGCAGGUUACUAACAAUACAUUGACGCUGAUGGACGAAAGCGUGGGGAGCGAACAGG
rnacentral:rRNA from 1 species